GCCUCUGAACCCGGCGCCCGCCCCCGGACUCCUUGCUAACCCCUGUGGCCCCGCGGGCCCCGGGCGACGGCUGGUACCCCUUAUUUUAACUGCUCUUAGGAUUGUUCCCCUCCAGCCACCUAAUUCAAUGGAGGCUCGGAGAAUCCAGCCGAGCCCAGUGCAUUCACCCGGCUGGCCAACUGUCCCGUGGUGGUUUCCCCACUUGCUUCUGUCUCGCUUAAAAACGCAGUUGACAUUCAUCGAAGGCUUACUGAGUGGUAGAUAGUGCAUCACGCGCUUCGGCUGCGUUAACUAUUCUAAUCACCUUCAAACUCCUGGAAAGCGGUGCUAUUCUCUACAUCUUACAGAGAAGGAAACCGGCCAGAACCGUUUGUAAACACUUCCAUAAUUCCCAAGUUCAAGUCGCCUUCCAUGCCUCCUAGGAGAGUGAAGCAAAUACCAGACUCCGCAGUCAAAACUUCGGUUGUCUCCAGCCAUACCAGUGUGUGUGCGCGCGUGCGUGCGCACGCGCGCGCGCACACACACACACACACACACACGCGCGCGCGCGCGCAUGCCGAGACCUGGAGCCCUAAUGAAAGGAAUCCUCAAUCACAGACUCUUGUCUAACUGAGCGUAUGAGGGCGAGGAACCCAGAAGCCCAGGGAGUUUUCUAAACGGUGACUGUGGAGAGCAGCCAAGGAUGAAGAAUGGUGCCAAGAGCAGAAUCCUCGAGUUGCUCCCUGCAAGAGCAGAAACGCGUGCACAAAGUGUACUUUACAGGGGCAGAGCAUCUCACCUACAAAGAUAGAGCACAGGCGGAUAAUAGCGGGGAUCAGGGAAUAGAGUGUUUCAGGAGCAUGUUCUCUGAAGAGAAAGCCAACGACUUUUGGAGAAGGAAGAAAGGAGAAUUAAGUAAGAAGUCCUACUACACACAUUUAAAAUGUUUCUCUUAUAGUAAAUUAAUGGCUGAACUCUUAUUACUCCUACAGCAAGCUCGAUGCACUUAAAAAGGUACAUACAAAUGUGGAAAUCCAAAGUUAUUCCUGAUUUGAAAGGUGUUUAAUUUGAAAUAUCCCUGGACCCAAACCAGUGCAAAUGUUUAUUGCGUGCUUAUUGUGCACGGGGCACAGGAUGUUACAGAGAAUACCAAGAAUGCCGAGCACCAGAAGAGAAUAAAAAUGCCAGUUGGGGAGAUGAGUUGUGGUCUCAUAGAAACGAGCCAUAAGGCUGCAGCGCAUCUCGUGAUGAAUGCAGAAGGAGUAACAGAGCCGUUAAUUCGGGGAGACUGUUUCCAUCAUUCAUGCUCUUAAGACCAACUCUGAGAUGGAACUUAAUAUUUUAAAGGAUUUGCAAAGGAUCCCGCCGUUUUUUUAUUUUAAGUAUGGCUGUGAGGAAGUUUAAAGCACAACUAGGAACUCUCCUGCCUCAGACUCCCAAGAUCUGGGAUUACAGGCACGCUUCACCACACCUGGUCUUCUGCGUGAUUACAGUUUUACAGCGUGAUGUUCGUCCUUAUGGAGUCCUGAAGCAAGACAGGUCGCUCCCGUGUUUCCCUUCAACUUCUUACAUUUGAAACACCCAGAACUUCAUCCUUUGUCGUCUUCAUCUGUUUUCCUCCGUUAGUGAUCUCAUCCACUUUCAAAGAUGUGAAUGUUAUCUAUAAGCUAACCAUGGACAGAGGAUUUCUGGGGAGAAAAGAAAAUCAAGAAUUUAAAAUGUUAGCCGGGCUGUGGUGGCGCACGCCUUUAAUCCCAACACUUGGGAGGCAGAGGCAGGUGGAUCUCUGUAAGUUCGAGACCACCCUGGUCUACAAGAGCAAGUUCCAGGAUAGGCUGCAAAACCACAGAGAAACCCUGUCUCGAAAAAACAAACAAACAAACAAAAAAGAAUUUAAAAUGUUAAGUUGAAAAUGUCCCCUCUACUCCAAUAGUAUCCAAAAGGAGAAAUUCCCACAGGCUACUGUAGUGCCCUGAAAACAGGCUAGCAAGAGAAGACUCUUCAAGUUGAAUGUGGGCUACAGCCAAAACAAAAACCUGGAGACAGAGCAGAAUGGUGUGCUGGAGUCAGAAAGGAGACAGCACUCUAAAGUGAGGGGAUGGGAUAGGUGUGGGGGGUCCCUGAUCAACCUCCUUUGGACCGCUCCUUCAUGCCACUGUUCCUAGGAUUAAGACUCCAACAUCAUCAUUUGAUUUUGGUUUCUAAUGAACUGAUGUAGGUAUUGGGAGAGGUGAUGGAGGACUAUGUAGAAGGAUGAACAAAACGGUACCCUGAGGCUGAAAGCAACUGUAUGCCAUCCUAUGUUUCCAGGACACUGUCCAUACAGAUGCUUCUCCCAUUGUUUCUGUGACACACUCUGCUUUUCAUUUAAGUACCCUUUUCACAAGUAAAGUUUGCAGAGUCCUCUUUCCAUAUUGGAAGGCCUGGCCACUUUUCUGUGAUUGCAGUUUACCCUGCAUUCUGUGUGAGCAUAAACACAUAAAAUAUUUAUACAUCCCUCCAAUCUAUAGAAAAGUCACUUUGGGGACUUGAAAACAGACUCGUUACAGAUGGAGAGGAUGCGAGAGAAAGGCCCUCAGUGUGCUGGCUCAGACCUGCAGCGUCUGCCCAGCACUGCGCCUCCUCUCAUAACGGGAUGCUCUGCUGAAUGAGCCCUUGUAUGUCAAGAUUCAAAACGUUCUUGUUUGCUGCAGUCGAACAAAGCUCUCACAGACAGUGGGAUCUGCAGGGCAACCGCCGAGUGUAUGAGACCAAUGUUCCCUCGACCACACUGUGAAUGGUUUAUCGUAAUGGCAGUUCACACCUUCAUGUAUGGAGGCUGGUGUGCUGUUUGCGCAGCCAUCCUGCACAGAGCCCCACUGACUUCAAAGGAAGUGACAUAGAACAGAACCCCAAGGUGUAAGGAGAGGCAAGCAGUAUCUCCUCAGAACGGGGCUAGUUUUGGUUAUUUGUUUUUCGUGCUCUCCGUAGAUUUAUAUACUAAAUAUCUAAAGACAGGCUCCCACUUUAACAGUUUAUGAGUUGUCAAGUUUGUGAAUAUGUAUUGAGAAACUAGACAUUGAACUGUUUUUGUUGUUGCUUUGGCUUUUUUUUUUUUUUAAAUGAAGGAGAGAAAGAGAGUUGUAGUGUAAAGAAACCCAUCCCAAUCCCGAUCCCAUGGUUUUCUUGCGCUACAAGCCCCCAAGAGGCUGAAGCAAUUUUCGACAAGCUUAUUAGUUCUGUAUAAUGGAAGCCACCUUGAUGCAAACCCUAAGGGGAGGCAAAGAGGAGGGAGAGGAGAAAGAGGAAAAAAAUGAAAAUAUAAGUGUAUAUUAAAUAUUUAAACAGUGAGGCCUUUCUAAAGCUGAAAAGCAAGGAGAAAUCACUAAUGAUUAAUAGACUAACCUACCCAAAUUUUACUAUUUCUACAUAAGCAAAAUCAAAAUAAGAUAGACUCAAAAGGGAAAUAAAAAGUUGUGGCGAUUUUGGAAGGCAUAAUAAUGAUAUUUCUAAUGUAUUAGAAAUUUUUGCACAUUGGCUAAAAGUAAAGCAAAAUAAGUUCCAGAUGGAUGGAGUUAAAAGUAGAACUUUUUUAAACUGUUCAGCAAAAACAAAGUAAAAGAGACUGUCCAGCCCGUGGAUAAGGAAGUGGGAUCUGCAGGGUGACCACCUGCAGAAAGCCUAGUCAUAUAAAACUAUAAAGAAACAUAUCAACAUAUUUAACCAUAUAAAAUUUAAUUUUAAAAAUUAAAAAAAAAUACAAUUAGAGCUUUAGGUAUAGCCCAGUCAUACAACAUUGCUUAACAUUUUAAAUUUUAAGUUCUGGGUUUAGGCUUUGGUAUAUCAAGAAAGAAAAAAAAAAAGAAGAAAAUAUUUUUAGUUAACUUAGAAAAUAUUUACAACAAACAAUUCUUUUAAAUUUACAAAGAACUCAGUAAAAUUGACUUUAUUAUUAAAGGAAUAUUGAUAUA